GACGUAAUAACUCAGAGGUAGAGUAUUGGUUUCAUAACCCAAAAGUCGGGGGUUCGAAUCCCCCUUACGUCA
rnacentral:tRNA from 1 species